AAUCCGGUUGAUCCUGCCGGACCUGACUGCUAUCGGAUUGAUACUAAGCCAUGCGAGUCAUUGUAGCAAUGCAAGGCAGACGGCUCAGUAACGCGUAGUCAACCUACCCUAUGGACGGGAAUAAUCUCGGGAAACUGAGGCUAAUUCCAGAUAGAACACUAUGCCUGGAACGGUUUGUGUUCCAAACGAUUUAUCGCCAUAGGAUGGGACUGCGGCCUAUCAGUUUGUUGGUGAGGUAAUGGCCCACCAAGACUAUUACAGGUACGGGCUCUGAGAG
rnacentral:rRNA from 1 species